CAGUAGCCACGGUAAUACGUAGGGUGCGAGCGUUAAUCGGAAUUACUGGGCGUAAAGCGUGCGCAGGCGGUUGUGUAAGACAGGUGUGAAAUCCCCGGGCUUAACCUGGGAACUGCGCUUGUGACUGCACAGCUAGAGUAUGGCAGAGGGGGGUGGAAUUCCACGUGUAGCAGUGAAAUGCGUAGAGACGUGGAGGAACACCGAUGGCGAAGGCAGCCCCCUGGCCAAUACUGACGCUCAUGCACGAAAGCGUGGGGAGCAAACAGGACUAGAGACCCCCGUAGUCCCUGUCUCUUAUACC
rnacentral:rRNA from 1 species